AAACACAAAACCUCUUUUCGUAGAACUUUACUCACUUUCCUAUUUCACUUUUCUUUUGCUUCUUUUCAGCAUCAUCAAAAUAUAAAUAGGUUAAUUUAUUUUUCUGCUCUUUCCCUUCAAUCUUCAUCUUGGGUGUUCUUGAUUUCUUAUCAAUUUAUCAGUUUGUCAGCUCAGUUUUAUUUAAUUCUGACCAGAGGAAGGGAGAUGCUGUAUGCUGACAGGAACUUGGACUUUACUCUCUCCCAUCAUUGAAACUUCGGGCUAUGACAAAUUUUUCUAUGGAAGAGGUGGAGCUCUAUACCAACUGGGAUGAUGUGUUUUGUCCCAUUUGCUUGGACUUCCCUCACAAUGGUGUACUCCUCCAGUGUUCAUCAUAUGACAAGGGUUGCAGGCCUUUUUUGUGUGACACAGAUCAUAUGCAUUCCAACUGUUUAGAACGCUUCAAACAAUCACUUUCGACAUCCAGUGAGAAAGAAGAUGUGAUAAAAUCGGAAGCCAACAGCUGGCCCACCUGCCCCUUGUGUAGGGGAGAAGUUACUGGAUGGGUUGUUGUUGAGAAGGCUCGCACGCAUCUCGAUGUCAAGGAACGCUGUUGUGAAGAGGAUAAAUGUGGAUUUAAAGGAACCUAUGUGGAACUUCAGAAACAUGCUAAUCUUGACCACCCUCAUGCACGUCCCUCAAAAAUAGAUCCUGCUCGACAGGUUGAUUGGGAAAAUUUUCAGCAGUCCUCUGAAAUAAUAGACGUCUUGAGUACUAUUCAUGCAGAAGUUCCCCGAGGGGUUGUGUUAGGUGACUAUGUGAUUGAAUAUGGAAAUGAUAAUUCUGAUGAUGAAUUUGAGAAUUUCCCUUCGGCGGAAAGGAAUUGGUGGACAUCAUGUAUCUUGUAUCAGGUAUUUAAUAACUUUAGGACAUCUAGAAACAGAAGAAGAUCUAGAGUAAGUAAUAAUACAAGAAGAGGAAACCGCCAUUUGGGUUAUGAUGGUUCUAACUCUGAUGAGAGUUCUGUGGCAUCCGUAGAGUAUGUAGAUUAUGGGGUUGAUGAGACCGAUGAUGAACUUGUAACUGUUGCUGGCUUCUCAAGGAGAAGAGCUGAUAGUCACAGGUUCUUUCAUCUAAGCUGGCACUCCUUCCAUUUUUCAUAAAAUGAUCAAACAACAAAUAACUUCUACUGUUUAGAGUCAUCACACAAAAAUUGAGAUAUAAGUUCUAAAUUAUAUUUAGAUAUGAAGGUGAAGAAAAGUAUUAGUCUUGGAAGUCCAACCAACAAAGUAUCAAGGGAAUAGACCAGGAAAAGGAGUAAAAGAGACCUUUCUUCUUCAUUCUCUGAUCCUCACCGUUCUCGAAGGCGACGUUCCCGCUUCUAUGACAAUUAGGUGAUUUUUUGCAUGUUCUAGGAAUAAUAAGGAUCCAACGGAAAGACUGGAGCGUAUCUUCAUUCGCCUGAAAACUAGCAAUCACUCACCAAGUGUUUGUAUUCACUGUGGACUAGUGGCCACGAAGUGAAAAGGGAAAGGUUAAACCCCUCUUCUUUUAGUUGUGGUGUGAACGACUGUAAGCUUGAUGCUUGCUCAUGAUAAAGUGAAGGCUUUAUAGAUAGUCUUUAGACAAUUUAACUUCUGUAAUCAUGACGUUUCAAAUCGAUCUAUUAUCUUUGCAGACUCCAAAAGGGUAAAUAUUAACUUCCAAUAUUGCUUUUGUUCA